rnacentral:sRNA from 1 species
AUACAAUAAAAUCUCUAUAAAUUAAUAAUGUUGGGACCAUAUUAUUAUUUUUAAUUUGUAUUU